GUAGCUGUUGUUCUGCCAAGAGCAUCGCAGCGUAGCUAAGUUUGGAAAGGAUAAACGCUGAAAGCAUCUAAGCGUGAAGCCAACUCUAAGAUGAAUCUUCUCUAAGCUCUCUAGAAGACUACUAGUUUGAUAGGCUGGGUGUGUAAUGGAUGAAAGUCCUUUAGCUGACCAGUACUAAUAGAGCGUUUGGCUUAUCUUUAAUAAAGCAU
rnacentral:rRNA from 1 species